rnacentral:rRNA from 1 species
CAGGAUGAACGCUAGCGGGAGGCUAAUACAUGCAAGUCGAACGGUAAGUUAGUUGCUUGCAACUAACACGAGUGGCGCACGGGUGAGUAACGCGUACGCGACCUGCCCUCAAGAGGGAAAUAGCCCUGGGAAACCGGGAUUAAUGUCCCAUGUGAUUGUAUUUCUAAGGGAUAUAAUUAAAGGAGCGAUCCGCUUGAGGAUGGGCGUGCGUGCUAUUAGCUAGUUGGUGAGGUAAUGGCUCACCAAGGCGACGAUAGCUAGGGGGCGUGAGAGCGUGACCCCCCACACGGGUACUGAGACACGGACCCGACUCCUACGGGAGGCAGCAGUAAGGAAUAUUGGACAAUGGGGGCAACCCUGAUCCAGCCAUCCCGCGUGCAGGAAGACGGCCCUAUGGGUUGUAAACUGCUUUUAUUAGGGAAGAAUAGCAUCAAUGAAUUGGUGUAUGACGGUACCUAAAGAAUAAGCACCGGCUAACUCCGUGCCAGCAGCCGCGGUAAUACGGAGGGUGCAAGCGUUAUCCGGAAUCACUGGGUUUAAAGGGUGCGUAGGUGGAAUAAUAAGUCAGGCGUGAAAGGUUACAGCUUAACUGUAGACUUGCGUUUGAUACUGUUAUUCUUGAAUUAAGAUGAGGUUGGCAGAAUGCGACAUGUAGCGGUGAAAUGCAUAGAUAUGUCGUAGAAUACCGAUUGCGAAGGCAGCCAACCGGACUUAAAUUGACACUGAGGCACGAAAGCGUGGGGAGCGAACAGGAUUAGAUACCCUGGUAGUCCACGCCCUAAACGAUGUUCACUCGAUGUUGGGAUGAAAUAAGAUUCUCAGCAUCCAAGGGACCCCGAUAAGUGAACCACCGGGGGAAUACGUUCGCAAGAAUGACACUCAAAGGAAUUCACGGGGCUCCGCACAAGCGGUGGAACAUGUGGUAUAACGCGAUGAUACGCGAGGCACCACACCGGGGCUAGAAUGCUAAGCGCUAGGUGGAUGACAGCCGAAGCUCCGGCGGGACGUUCAGCAAGGUGCAGCAUGGCUGUCAACAGGUCCCGCCGGGAGGUGGUGGAAUACCUCCCGCUGACGAGCGCAACCCUCGUCAGUAGUCAACAACAUGUAAAGAUGACUACUCUAGAGGAGACCGCCGGCAUCACGCCGCGAAAGAAGGUGGGGACGACGUCGUCGUCAUCGUCCCCUAUACCCAGAGGGACACACACGGAUCACAAGGGCGAAAACAGAGGCAACUGAACCCGCGAGGUGGAGCCAAUCUCACAAAGUGCAUCCCAGUUCAGAUUGAAGUCUGCAACCC